ensembl:lncRNA
GGGGGGGAGCAGGGGCAGGCCGAGACAGGAGGAGCAAUAAUAGCUGAGUCAGAAGCAGCGGAAGGACACCCUUUUCUUCCAGAAACACAUUCUUGGGUAAGCCUUUCAUCGGCCUGGGCUGAGCUGUCGGAGACCUGCCACUAAAUAUACAUAAGACACCUUCAGGCUGGAUUUCAUCUUAAGACCUCAAUUAAAUAUCACCCCGCCUUCCUGAUUCUUAUUAUCAAUAAUACCUCUAAUAUUCUUGUUAUUAUUUUGCAAACGACGUUUCGGCGGCGGAUGUCCCCUUGGAACUGCAGCGGGAGCCACGCCCAGGAGGGCGCUCACCUGCUGCGCGGAGCCCGGGACUUUGCCCCAUCCGCGUCCCUUGCCUCUUCCCCACUCCCCCUAGGCUGAUGGAUAUCCUUGGAUGUGGAGCCCUUUAAAAAUGACAAAUGCCUUGUCAGUACAGACCAUCCCUCCCCUCCUGCUUUCUAAUCUUUUUUUUUUUUUCGGAGCAAGGAUGGACCCAGACUCAAGCCUAGCGGCGCGGAUUACAUGGCCUGCGUUGUACCGUAAACGCCAAAACCUUGGCCUAAUUUACAGCUAAUAGAUCUCAAGCAAGGGAGUCGGGAAGAAAUCAGUGGCCUAAGGAGUUAGAUUGGGGCUUUGGAGGGAUCGGAAAUUAGGGACUGGAAGUAGGAUGUGAUUCACAUUAUUCACCGCUCCCCCCAACACACACACACACACACACGACCAGGCGCCUCCCGGCUCGGCCUUCGCGAAUGCGGCCCUUGGUUCUCCGCGGCCUGUGUCCCUGUCGCUCGCUUCCCUCCAUCGGGACCACACUGAGCGUCAGGGGCGCCUGCGAUGCGCUCAGACCCCUCGCCCUCCUCCCGGCUUCUCCCAGCCCCCGGGAGGAGGCGCUGGCGCCCGGGUCGGCCUCUGGUCCCUCCUCGUCGGCGUCCCCGGAGCCCCCAUUCACAAAGCCGCGCUUGGAGGAGGCGACACACACACACACACACACACACACACACACACACACAGACACACAGACACACACACACACACACACACACACACACACACACACACAGACACACACACACACACCCCGAAGAGGGGAGCUUGAUCUUGUCUCAUUGGUGUCUCGGGCCUGAAAGGAAAAUCGUUUGGGUAAACAGCCAAGCUUCCAGGCUUAGCGCCCGGCUCCCGCCCCCGCCCCCCGCCCCUCCGCCUCCCCCACUCCCCUUCCACCCCGCCCGCCACCCACACUCCGCUCCGCAGCCGGGCCCCGAGCGAGCUCCGCGCCGCCGGCCGGGAGUCCGGGGCUCACGAGUUCAAAGGGCCGCGGCCCCGAGGGGAUGCCCUCCUCGCUGUGCCCCGGGGGGCAGAAGCGGACCGCAGGGCGGUGGGACCGGCCCGGGCCACGAGCACUCCUUUCAGCAUCAGGCACAUACAGCUGAGAGAUACCACAGAAAACACCUUUCCAGGUAUGUAGUACUUUUCAUUCUAACUUGGAAACUUUUUUUUUUUUUGCUGGUAAAAGCCACAACUGUCAUAAAAAUUGAUGUUUUUGCUUUCCUACGCAGGGGGAGUAUCAGUCUGUUGAUGAGUGGAAAUUAACGAUCAGAGUCAGGAGCACAUUUGAGUCAUCUCUAAUGAGGCGGAUGAGCCUAGAGCCUAUCAUACAGGGUGAUGUUAAGUCAGAAAGAGAAAGACCAAUAUUGUAUAUUAACACAUAUCUAUGAAACACAUCUAGAAAAAUGGCACUGAUGAUCCAACUUGCAAGGCAGCAAUGGAGAUGCAGACAUAAAGGACAGAUUUUUGGACACAGUGGGGGAGGGGGAGGGUGGGAUGAUUUGCGAGAGCAGCACUGAAAUGUAUGCAUGACCAUAUGUAAAAUAGAGAGCCAGUGGGAGUUUGCUGGGAGCCCAAAGCCUGUGCUCCGUGAAAACCUAGAGGCAUGGGGUGGGGAGGGAGGUGGGAGGGAGGCUCCAGAGGGGCGGGAACAUGUGCACACCUAUGGCUGCUUCAUGUUGACAUGGGGCAGAAGCCAUGGCAGUAUUGUAAUCAUCCUCCAAUUAAAGAUAAAGUUUAAAAAAUAAAGGUCAGAGUCAAGAUACCCCUGCCCA